GUUGAAAUACCGGUUCCCGUACGAUCACCGCCGAAGUUAAGCAACGUUGAAUCGGGUCAGGAGCUAGAUCGGUGACCACUUGGGAAUACCAGGUGCUGUCA